rnacentral:rRNA from 1 species
UACAGAGGUGGCAAGCGUUGUUCGGAAUUACUGGGCGUAAAGGGCGCGUAGGCGGCCUUCUAAGUCGGACGUGAAAGCCCCAGGCUUAACCUGGGAACUGCGUCCGAUACUGGAAGGCUUGGAUUCGGGAGAGGGAUGUGGAAUUCCAGGUGUAGCGGUGAAAUGCGUAGAUAUCUGGAGGAACACCGGUGGCGAAGGCGGCAUCCUGGACCGAGAUCGACGCUGAGGCGCGAAAGCUAGGGGAGCGAACGGG